UCAGGGACCAAACCACCUCGACGAUUAGAUCAACUCUUAACCUAAUCGGGUCAAACCCAACUGAAUCCAAUUCAAUUGGACUUGAUCCAAAAAUAAUUACUCAAUCAAAUUGAGUUAAUUAGUGAUCAAAUCACUAAUUAAACCUCUCAUAAAUACUGAGUCCAAAUUCGAUGGGCAAUCGGGCAUCAAAGUCCAUCGAUAUGAAACCUUGAUCGAAGAGUCCCAAACCAGUGGGACUCUUGACCCUGGUACCCAAAAUAUGUGGAACUCAUGAUCAGAGAAUCCUGAUUCUCGAUCACAGAGUUUCAGACAUGUAAGACUCAGAGUCCCCGAGCAUUAGGACUCUUGAUCGAAGAGUCCCAGUCCAGUGGGACUCUUCACGAGCCAUC
rnacentral:lncRNA from 1 species